UCACGGGCCGGCGCAAGCAGAUGGCUGCGGUGGCCAUGGUUCGCUGCGAUGGAUUCUUUUUUCUUUUUUCUUUCGUUAGAAAACGUGGGCCAUGAGAGCAUUAGAGAAGAGAGAUUGGACUGAAAUGUAGGACCCGCAUGUCAGGUCGAUGUCAUCGUCCAGUCAACCUGCCACGUGUUCAGUUUUAACACGUGGUAUGAAG
rnacentral:lncRNA from 1 species